UCGCCUUCUUCUCCCGCGGGAGGAAAUGGAAUCGUAUAUAAAUCCUCAGUUUUGCAAUAUCGCUCCUCUCCUCUCCUCUCUCGCUGCCUUCCCGCCUCACUCUCUCGAGCUCACCGCGCACACGGAGCUUGCAUAGCAUUUGAUCUCCCCGGUCUUCUCGGAAAUGGAGGAAGUGGACGAAACCGAAGCCAAGCCUCAGGUUUAUAUGGCGUGCAUCCUCCAAGGUCACCGCAUUGGAGUUGCAUAUUACGACUCCAGCAUUCGCCAACUUAAUGUGCUGGAAGUUUGGGAAGAUAGGACAUCGGAUUUUCCCAUGAUUGAUCUCGUUAAAUACCAAGCCAAGCCCCUCGUAAUAUAUACAAGCACCAAGAGUGAAGAACCAUUCUUAGCUGCUUUAGAGAGAAGCGAUGGAACCAGCGAGGAGGCUCCUCCUGUGAAGCUCGUAAAAAGUUCACUAUUUAGCUAUGAACAAGCAUGGCACAGAUUGGUAUACCUUCGAGUAACAGGGAUGGAUGAUGGGUUAAAUAUCAAGGAAAGGAUCAGCUAUUUGAAUUCUAUGAUGGAUAUGGGAAGUGAUGUUGAAGUUCGAGCAAGUGGAGGCCUUCUAGCGAUAUUGGAGAAUGAACUGAUUGUUGAUACCCUUGAACAUAAGGAGUGUGGGAAUGCAUCCAUCUCUGUUGAUUCUGUGAUUGAGAUUUCACUAAACAAUUUUCUCAAACUUGAUGGAGCGGCUUAUGAAGCACUGCAGAUAUUUCAGAUAGAUAAACAUCCCAGUCAUAUGGGUAUCGGAAGAGCGAAAGAGGGGUUCUCUGUUUUCGGCAUGAUGAAUAAGUGUUUGACAACAAUGGGGCGACGUCUCCUGAGAAGCUGGUUCCUGAGGCCUAUACUGGAUCUCGAAAGUUUGAAUGGUCGUCUUGAUACUAUAUCAUUCUUCCUUCGUUCUGAAGAGCUCCUGAAUUCUCUACGUGAAACUUUAAAGUCUGUUAAGGACAUUCCCCAUAUCCUUAAGAUAAUUGGAGCACUUUUAUUUUUGUCCCCUCAUAUGAAGAAAUUCAACUCUCCAAGCUCCACAUGCACUUGCACUGAUUGGUCAGCUUUUCUGAAGAGCAUUUCUUCACUCUUGCAUGUGAACAAGAUAUUUGAAGUAGGCACUACUGACGAUCUUCAGGAGUACGCAAAGUUUUUGAAUUUGGACAUCAUUGACAAGGCUAGUUCAGUCCUUGGCACAGAGCUCGCUUAUGUCUAUGAAUUGGUGAUUGGUGUUAUUGAUGAAAGAAGAACUAAAGAGAAAGGUUAUGAGACAAUGGUAAAGGAGAGCUUCUGUGAUGAGUUAGAUGAACUGAGGCAAAUAUAUGAGGAAUUGCCAGAGUUUUUGGAACAGGUUUCUUCAAUGGAACUUUCCCAUCUUCCAGACCUGUGGAAGGAGAAGCCUGCUCCUUGUAUUGUAUAUAUCCAACAAAUAGGAUAUCUGAUGUGUGCUUUUGAAGAAAAACUUGAUGUGACACUUGGAAGGGUUCAAGAUUUUGAAUUUGCUUUCUCUGACACAGAUGGAGAUACAGAAAGGUUCUUCUACCACACUGCCAAGACACGAGAAUUAGAUGCCCUUCUUGGAGACAUUUAUCACAAAAUUUUGGAUAUGGAACGGGCAAUUAUGAGAGACUUGGUAUCACAUAUACUUGUAUUCUCAGCAAAUCUGCUUGAGGCUGUGAAUUUUGCUGCUGAACUUGAUUGCUACUUGUCACUGGCAUUGGUUGUUCGUCAGAACAAUUAUGUGAGGCCCACACUGACCGAUGAAAAUCUGCUUGAUAUACAAAACGGAAGGCAUGUUUUGCAGGAAAUGACAGUUGACACUUUCAUUCCAAAUGAUACAACUAUUGUUAGAGAUGAACGGAUAAAUAUAAUCACCGGUCCCAAUUACUCUGGCAAAAGUAUCUACAUAAAGCAGGUUGCUCUCAUUGUCUUCCUUGCACAUAUUGGAAGUUUUGUACCGGCAGAUGCUGCAACUGUGGGUUUGACUGAUAGGAUAUUUUGUGCAAUGGGGAGCAAACUCAUGACUGCAGAACAAUCAACCUUCAUGAUUGAUCUUCAUCAAGUAGGCAUGAUGCUAAGGCACGCAACUUCAAGAUCAUUAUGUCUGCUAGAUGAAUUCGGGAAAGGCACUCUAAAUGAAGAUGGAGUUGGCCUGCUUGGUGGAGCAAUAAAUUACUUUGUCAUGCACGAUCAACCCCCAAAGGUUUUGGUUUGCACUCACCUGACUGAAUUACUUGAUGAGAGCUAUUUGCUGAAGUCGGAGAAGAUCAAGUUCUACACCAUGAGUGUGCUAAGGCCUGAAGAUGCUUCAGCAGAUAUUGAGGACAUUGUAUUUCUUUACCGGCUAGUUCCUGGAUACACGCUUCUGAGCUAUGGUCUCCAUUGUGCACUCCUCGCUGAAAUUUUAACAAGAGGAUUACUUAGGUGCUCGGAGAAGACAAUGAUCUGCAGAAUUUACUAAUGAAGCCGUGUUGUUUUUCAACUGUCAUGAGAUGGUCUUCCGAAGGAAGUGAUUGACAGAGCUGCAUCGAUUCUAGGUAGCCCUGGAAACAAUCAGACCAUUGAUCGAGUGCACAAUGAGAGAAUAUUUGCUCAAGAUCAGCAAUACAAGAAUGCAUUGGAGAAGAUGCUGGCAUUCGAUACAAUUCACGGUGACCUCAGAAGCUUCUUUGAGGAAAUAUUAUUAUCAUAAUAUCCGAGGCAUGAAGUAAUUCUUUUCUUUGGCAACAAUAUACGUUCUGCUCUCGAGAUUCGUAUGUGUAUUUGUCAAGGAUUGGAUGAUGGAUAUACUACUGCCUGAUGUAGGGGACUAGUAGCAGCCGCUUCCAGUGGUGGUUAGAUAUUUUCUUUUAUUCUUCCUCUUAGAAGAAAAUAAGGAAGCUUUUCCUUUUCUGGGAAGUUGGGAAGUACGGCAUUUAAUUAGUUCAGACACAGCGCCCAGAUCUAGGAAUGUUUAGUGCAUGAACUUCAGUAAGACCGACAUUUAUUGAGUUUU